AUUGAACGCUGGCGGCAUGCUUUACACAUGCAAGUCGGACGGCAGCGGGGUAGUGCUUGCACUACUGCCGGCGAGUGGCGAACGGGUGAGUAAUAUAUUGGAACGUACCGAGUAAUGGGGGAUAACCAAUCGAAAGAUUGGCUAAUACCGCAUACGCUCUGAGGAGGAAAGCAGGGGACCUUCGGGCCUUGCGUUAUUCGAGCGGCCAAUAUCUGAUUAGCUAGUUGGUGGGGUAAGGGCCUACCAAGGCGACGAUCAGUAGCGGGUCUGAGAGGAUGAUCCGCCACACUGGGACUGAGACACGGCCCAGACUCCUACGGGAGGCAGCAGUGGGGAAUUUUGGACAAUGGGCGCAAGCCUGAUCCAGCCAUGCCGCGUGUCUGAAGAAGGCCUUCGGGUUGUAAAGGACUUUUGUUAGGGAAGAAAGAGGAGCGGUUAAUACCCGUUUCUGCUGACGGUACCUAAAGAAUAAGCACCGGCUAACUACGUG
rnacentral:rRNA from 1 species